rnacentral:rRNA from 1 species
CAAAGUAACGGCGAGUGAACUGGGAUGAGCCCAACGCUGAAUCUUUCGAUGUUAAAUCGUAAAGAAAUGUAGCGUAUAGGUAUGAUUGUCGAUAUGUUUAGCAUGUCCAAAGUUCCUUUGAUAGGGGCCAAUGUCCAGAGAGGGUGCGAGACCUGUGCGGAUAGUUGAACAUAUCGUAUCGAUUAUACCUUGGAGUCGGGUUGCUUGAAAGUGCAGCCUUAAGUGGGUGAUAAACUUCAUCUAAGGCUAAAUACGGACGCGAAUUCGAUAGCAAACAAGUACUGUGAAGGAAAGUUGCAAAGAACUUUGAAGAGAGAGUUCAAGAGAACGUGAAAUCGUUGAAGUUGAAUCGGAGAGAGUUGACGUAGUUUAAUGGCUAAGUAUGACAAAAAUCGUAUUCAUUUCUCUUUUUCGGUGAUGAAUAUGAUCAAGUAAUAUGUAUGCCAUUGAUAACUGUACUGACAGCAUCGACUACACAUUUCGAACUUGAUUGACAUGUUGCCCAUUUUAUUCGCAUAGAAUGGUGUCUUGUGUCUUGUCAUGGUAAGAUUUGUUUUAUGUUGAUGUCGAUAUUAAUUUAUUGAUAAUUAUGUCAGUAUAAAAGUCAAUCACCUCUCCGACCCGUCUUGAAACACGGACCGAGGAGUGUAACUUGUACGCGAGUCAAUAGGUGGAAAAACCUAAAGGCGAAAUGAAAGUAAAGGCACGGUUAACCGGUUGACAUGGGAAAUGUCUCUAUAUGAUGAUGCACAAAACACAAAAGAGACAUCACACCAUGGCCCUGUCUUGUCUGCAUGCAGAUGGGCAGCGGUAGAGCGUACAGGUUGCGACCCGAAAGAUGGUGAACUAUGCCUGAGCAGGACGAAGUCAGAGGAAACUCUGAUGGAAGUCCGUAUCGGUUCUGACGUGCAAAUCGAUCGAUAGACUUGGGUAUAGGGGCGAAAGACUAAUC